rnacentral:rRNA from 1 species
UACAGAGGGUGCAAGCGUUAAUCGGAAUUACUGGGCGUAAAGCGCGCGUAGGCGGUUCGAUAAGUCGGAUGUGAAAGCCCUGGGCUCAACCUGGGAAUGCCAUUCGAUACUGUCGAGCUAGAGUAUGGUAGAGGAAAGCGGAAUUCCACAUGUAGCGGUGAAAUGCGUAGAUAUGUGGAGGAACAUCAGUGGCGAAGGCGGCUUCUGGUGACUAAUACUGACGCUGAGGUGCGAAAGCGUGGGGAGCAAACAGGAUUGAGAUACCUGGUAGUCCACGCC